rnacentral:lncRNA from 1 species
ACCAGCUCCAGGAGGGCAUGAGACCUCACCGGUCUUAUUCAUCAGUGUCGACCCAGCAGUGGCCCCCUGUCUGGUCCGUGUAGGUGCUCAAGACAUAUAACUGGCGUUGUUGUUGAGACCUGAGGGGCAAUGACGGGUCACCCCGCUUCCCCCAUCUCCAGGUUCAGAACCAAGUGAGAGGAUGCAGGAGUUAGACGAGCGCAGGUCCAAGUGUCAGCUUUGUCCCAGCACCGGAGACUGCGGCUGGGAUCUGUGAAGUCCCCUGCCCCACUUGACCUGACCCAUCCAGGCUGAGCUGCAGGCUUUGAGGAUGAGAGUGGAGGUUUCACUGGAUGGAGGUAGUACCCCGUCUUUCAGUUCUCUGCUCCCUGACCUGGCUCUGCGGAAGAGCAUGAGGCGCCCUCUCAGGUUCCCUCGGGGAUGGGAAACGAGGCCCAUCUCAACUCCUGUCCUCCACACACACCAGCUCCCCCAGGAGGGGCACCCGUAGAAUCUGUAUUCGGGCAUCACCCCAUUCGUUCAGCAAUAUCUGCUGGAGUCAGGGAGCAAAGGAUGACAGACACACCUGCCCGGAGAUGAGGGAUGUGCCAGGCGGCCGGUCCCUGGAGGCAUCCCAUGCUGCUGGGCUUCUUCAUGUCCCGCUUGGGUUCCAUCAGGUUCUAUUUGAAGAUUUUUUAAAAAUGAUUUUUUUGGCUAAAAAUGAUACAGUUGGAAAUCCCUGGUCAAGAAGAUAGGGUCCCCCUGUCAUCCCAGGAAGCCCGAGGAACGGAUUCUAACAAAGAAGUCACUGUUGUCGAGAAUUAUUUCUUCCUGCCCAUCUCAUCCAGAGCUACUGGCUUCCGGAUGGUUCUUGGUGUUGGCGGUGGGAUGGCGCGGUAUAACGGGAAAGACACAGCCACUCACUGGCGUGCCUCACUGGGCACAUGGCUUCCCAUCUGAGAUCAAUGUUCCCGAGGGAAAAACACGGAUAAUUUGACCUGUCUGGCACAGAGGUUUGGGAAAUAUCCAGAAAGUACCUUGCACGUGGCAGGAGCUCAGAAGAUAAUUAUUAUCGUUAUCGUUGUCAUCCUCUCCACGGCCAGUCUCACCCCAGGACAUGACUUUGUAGCCAUUUUACUUGAAGAAUCCCAGGGCUGGAAGGGAUCUGAGCGAGUUUGAAGAAACCUGUUCCUGACUCUCAAGAGGAUUCAGCAGAAUUGAGAAUACACCUGGGGAGGCCGGAAUUUCCUUCCAAAGCCUUGUCCGGAGCACCAUCUGUGCCUUACUGUUUUUGGUUAAUCUGAGAAAAUU